rnacentral:rRNA from 1 species
AAGGGCACCACAAGAACGCGUGGAGCAUGUGGCUUAAUUUGACUCAACGCGGGAAAUCUUACCGGGUCCGGACACACUGAGGAUUGACAGGCAAUAUUAAUUUCUGCAGCUUCGGCUAAAGUUAUUAUGUUAAAUAUGCUAGUCCUUUCAUGAUUAUGUGAUAGGUGGUGCAUGGCCGUUCUUAGUUCGUGGAGUGAUCUGUCUGCUUAAUUGCGUUUCACUAAGGGCCUAUAAAUUACGUGUGUUGCGGUACUUUGACCCCUCUUUUUUCACGAGAAGAGCGCGUGUCUUAGUUUGCUUAGCUCACACAAUUAGGUCCUGAAAGCAACGAACGUGACCGCAACCUCUUGUUGCCUUUAUACCAAACAUGGAUAUUCUCUUCGGAGGGUUUCAUGAAAAAAGGCUUUUUAAACUAGAGGGACCGCUGUUACUUUCUUAAACCAGAGGAAGGUUGCGGCAAUAACAGGUCUGUGAUGCCCUUAGAUGUUCCGGGCUGCACACGUGCUACAAUGAUUAUUGCAGUGAGCAUCUCAUUUUUUACACACCGCAUACGCGAGUCCAUUUAUUCACUCUCGGGUGCUUUAAAUGUGCAUCUCUGCGAGCGGUAAAGCCUGCUUCGAAAGUAAGUGGGUAAUCAAUUAGAAGUAAUGAUUUCCUUUUUUUCUAGCACACAUAUAUACGGCGUUUAUACCCGGGCUGCCUUGUUGUAGCUUUUGUGCGUAUAGAUGUUUUUUCCGUAUGUGCGAUUGUCAAUUCAUGGUGGGGACAGACCAUUGUUAAUUGUUGGUCUCGGUCUUAACUAGGAAUGUCUUGUACGGGUCUUUGGUUCAACAAACCACCCGGAAUACGUCCCUGCCCUUUGUACACACCGCCCGUCGCUCUUACCGAUGGACUUCUCUGUGAGUUUGAGGGACUGGGAACGCAGGUUUUUUAUUAAAUCUGCACACCUAUGGAAACUUAAACGAACAGUGUGGUCUAAAGGAAAGAGAAGUCGAACAAGGCA